GCUCAGGAUGAACGCUGGCGGCGUGCUUAACACAUGCAAGUCGAACGAUUGAAGCUGGAGCUUGCUCCGGCCGAUUUAGUGGCGGACGGGUGAGUAACGCGUGGGUAACCUGCCUCAUACAGGGGGAUAGCAGUUGGAAACGACUGGUAAAACCGCAUAAGCGCACGGUGUCGCAUGACACAGUGUGAAAACACUCCGGUGGUAUGAGAUGGACCCGCGUCUGAUUAGCUAGUUGGUGAGGUAACGGCCCACCAAGGCGACGAUCAGUAGCCGGCCUGAGAGGGUGAACGGCCACAUUGGGACUGAGACACGGCCCAAACUCCUACGGGAGGCAGCAGUA
rnacentral:rRNA from 1 species